CCAGUGUGGGUCAGUGGUUGAGCAUCAACCCGUGAACCAGGGGUCACAGGUUGAUUCCAAGUCAAGGCACAUGCCUGGGUUGUGGGCUCAAUCCCCAGUAG